CCCUUAGAUGGUCUGGGCGGCACGCGCGCUACAAUGAUGCAUUCAAAAAGUCUUCUGACCUUAGAAGGUUGGGUAUUCUCCAAAGUGCAUCGUGAUGGGAAUAGUUUAUUGCAAUUUUUAAUCUUGAACGAGGAAUUCCUAGUAAGUACAGGUCAUCAACUUGUGUUGAUUACGUCCCUGCCCUUUGUACACACCGCCCGUCGCUCCUACUGAUUGAGUGUCUCGGUGAGUUCUUUGAUCUUCUGUCGAUUCAGUUCACUGAUCCGACGGUGGAAAGUUGAAUGAACUUCGUCACUUAGAGGAAGGAGAAGUCGUAACA
rnacentral:rRNA from 1 species